UACAGGCUUAACACAUGCAAGUCGAGGGGCAGCGCGGGGCGGCAACGUCCUGGCGGCGACCGGCGGAAGGGUGCGUAACGCGUGAGCGACAUGCCCGUUGUCCGGGGACAACCGGUGGAAACGCCGACUAAUCCCCGAUGGGACGGAGGCCCUCAUGGGUCUCUGUUGAAAGUUACGGCGGCGACGGAUUGGCUCGCGUCCGAUUAGCUAGUUGGCGGGGUAACGGCCCACCAAGGCUACGAUCGGUAGGGGUUCUGAGAGGAAGGUCCCCACAUUGGAACUGAGACACGGUCCAAACUCC
rnacentral:rRNA from 1 species